rnacentral:rRNA from 1 species
GAGGGGCAGCAGGUCCCGCAAGGGACGCUGGCGACCGGCAAACGGGUGCGGAACACGUACGCAACUUUCCUUCAAGUGAGGAAUAGCCCAGGGAAACUUGGAUUAAUACCUCGUAAUAUUAUGAAAUGGCAUCAUUUUAUAAUUAUAGCUCCGGCGCUUGAAUAUGGGCGUGCGCCUGAUUAGGUAGUUGGCGGGGUAACGGCCCACCAAGCCUACGAUCAGUAACUGGUGUGAGAGCACGACCAGUCACACGGGCACUGAGACACGGGCCCGACUCCUACGGGAGGCAGCGGUAAGGAAUAUUGGGCAAUGGACGCAAGUCUGACCCAGCCAUGCCGCGUGGAGGAUGAAGGUCCUCUGGAUUGUAAACUUCUUUUAUCUGGGAAGAAAUCCAUGAAUUCUUUCGUGGUUGACGGUACCAGAUGAAUAAGCACCGGCUAACUCCGUGCCAGCAGCCGCGGUAAUACGGAGGGUGCAAGCGUUA